rnacentral:rRNA from 1 species
GGGCCCGCACAAGCGGUGGAGCAUGUGGUUUAAUUCGAUGAUACGCGAGGAACCUUACCAGGGCUUAAAUGUAAGUUGCAUAGAUCAGAGAUGGUCUUUUCUUCGGACUACUUACAAGGUGCUGCAUGGUUGUCGUCAGCUCGUGCCGUGAGGUGUCAGGUUAAGUCCUAUAACGAGCGCAACCCCUGUCGUUAGUUACCAGCAAGUAAUGUUGGGUACUCUAGCGAGACUGCCGGUGCAAACCGUGAGGAAGGUGGGGAUGACGUCAAAUCAUCACGGCCCUUACGUCCUGGCUACACACGUGCUACAAUGGCCGGUACAGAGAGCAGCCACUACGCGAGUAGGAG